UGAGUCUGUAGCUCAGCUGGAUAGAGCAACGGCCUUCUAAGCCGUAGGUCAUGGGUUCGAAUCCCCUCAGGCUCGU
rnacentral:tRNA from 1 species